AAUUGGAGGGCAAGUCUGGUGCCAGCAGCCGCGGUAAUUCCAGCUCCAAUAGCGUAUAUUAAAGUUGUUGCAGUUAAAGAGCUCGUAGUUGAAUUUCGGAAUCUGUCCUUUGGUCGGGCUUCACUGUCCGUACUGGUGUGAUGGGUUUCUACCUUCUGAAUAACCGGCAUGUCAUUAAUUUGGUGCGCCGGGGAAGCAGAACUAUUACCUUGAAAAAAUUAGAGUGCUUAAAGCAGGCUAUCGCCUGAAUAGAUUAGCAUGGAAUAAUAAAAUGGGACGGCAUGGUUCUAUUUUGUUGGUUUCUAGGAUCACCGUAAUGAUUAAUAGGGAUAGUUGGGGGCAUUAGUAUUCAAUUGUCAGAGGUGAAAUUCUUGGAUUUAUUGAAGACUAACUUCUGCGAAAGCAUUUGCCAAGGAUGUUUUCAUUAAUCAAGAACGAAAGUUAGGGGAUCGAAGACGAUCAGAUACCGUCGUAGUCUUAACCAUAAACUAUGCCGACUAGGGAUCGGACGAUGUUAAUUUUUUAAUGACUCGUUCGGCGCCUUACGGGAAACCAAAGUGU
rnacentral:rRNA from 1 species